GACGUAGGGCGCGAGCGUUGUCCGGAAUUAUUGGGCGUAAAGAGCUCGUAGGCGGUUUGUUGCGUCGGCUGUGAAAUCCCGAGGCUCAACCUCGGGUCUGCAGUCGAUACGAGCAAACUAGAGUGUUGCAGGGGAGACUGGAAUUCCUGGUGUAGCGGUAAAAUGCGUAGAUAUUACUAGGAACACCAAUGGCGAAGGCAGCUUGCUGGGCCGUCCUUGACGCUGAGAAACGAAAGCGUGGGGAGCGAACAGG
rnacentral:rRNA from 1 species